rnacentral:tRNA from 1 species
UCCUUGGAGGUCCAGUGGUUAAGAUUCUGCGCUUCCACUGCAGGGGGCAUGGGUUCAAUCCCUGGUCAGGGAA